rnacentral:rRNA from 1 species
CUACGGGAGGCAGCAGUGGGGAAUAUUGGGCAAUGGGCGAAAGCCUGACCCAGCAACGCCGCGUGAAGGAUGAAGGCCCUCGGGUUGUAAACUUCUUUGAUGAGGGAAGAUAAUGACGGUACCUCAAGAACAAGCCACGGCUAACUACGUGCCAGCAGCCGCGGUAAUACGUAGGUGGCAAGCGUUGUCCGGAUUUACUGGGUGUAAAGGGCGUGUAGGCGGGAUGGCAAGUCAGAUGUGAAAUCCCGAGGCUUAACCUCGGAGCUGCAUCUGAAACUGCCAUUCUUGAGUGUCGGAGAGGAAAGUGGAAUUCCUAGUGUAGCGGUGAAAUGCGUAGAGAUUAGGAGGAACACCAGUGGCGAAGGCGGCUUUCUGGACGAUAACUGACGCUGAGGCGCGAAAGCGUGGGGAGCAAACAGGAUUAGAUACCCCUGUAGUC